rnacentral:rRNA from 1 species
GAUAAACGCUGGCGGCGUGCCUAACACAUGCAAGUCGAACGUCCGUGCGGUAACGCACGGGAGUGGCGGACGGGUGAGUAACACGUGGGUGACCUAUCCCCAAGUGAGGAAUACCGGCGAGAAAUCGCCGACAACUCCGCAUACCCUCGAGGUAACUCGAGGAAAGUCUCGCAAGAGAUGCUUAGGGAGGGGCCUGCGCCCGAUUAGUUAGUUGGUGGGGUAAUGGCCUACCAAGGCUGCGANCGGUAGCUGGUCUGAGAGGACGAUCAGCCACACUGGGAUUGAGAACGGCCCAGACUCCUACGGGGGGC